rnacentral:rRNA from 1 species
CCCGCCGGCGACCGGCGCACGGGUGAGUAACACGUAUGAAACCUGCCCGUAGCAGGGGGAUAAGCGGAAGAAAUUCCGUCUAAUACCGCGUAACAACCCCAUGGAGGCAUCUCUGUGGGUUUAAAGGAAGCGAUUCCGGCUACGGAUGGUCAUGCGUCGCAUUAGCUUGUUGGCGGGGUAACGGCCCACCAAGGCGACGAUGCGUAGGGGUUCUGAGAGGAAGGUCCCCCACACUGGUACUGAGACACGGACCAGACUCCUACGGGAGGCAGCAG